CUGUAUUGUUGGAAGUUUGGGCGAUUUGGAGACAUUAGUUGAUUCAUUUGUUGACUCUCGUAGCUAAAGUUAGGAUGAUCCCUCCAUCCUGGGUUGUAGGUAUUGGAGUAAGGAUCAUAAUUCCUUUGUGGUUGUCUAGGAAAGCCGCCCAUUGCAUUAACUUGUUCAUUGGGGUCUUCUUGAAGAGUUGGGCACAUGUCAGUUGGAUGUCCCAUCACCGAACAAAUUCCGCGCGCCUUCGUCAUUUGCAUAUUACCUGCAGCCAUUUGACGAACCAGAGAAGUUAGACUCGCAAGUUGUUUUUCAGGAGAUGAAACAUUUACCUCAUUAACAUGUCUAGAAGGGGUGUUGAGUCUAGUUCCGAAUUGUUGAGAAUUGGCUGCCAUGUUUGCAAUCAAGUUCCUCGCGCCCUCAGGAGUUUUAUCCACCAAAGCUCCUCCACUUGCAGCGUCAAUCAUGCUCCUAUCAGUGGGUAGAAGACCUUCAUAGAAAUACUGGAUGAGAAGUUGUUCACUGAUUUGAUGAUGGGGACAGCUCGCACAUAGUCGCUUGAAACACUCCCAGUAUUCAUGUAAGGAUUCUCUACUGUCUUGCAUUACACCACAAAUAGCCUUUUGGAUCUUUGCUACCCUUGAAGCUAGGAAAUAUUUCUCCAAAAACAACCUCUUCAUUUCCUCCCAUGUUGUGACACUUCCAGAUGGUAGAUAGUAGAACCAGUCCUUAGCUGAGUCCUUCAGGGAAAAUGGAAAGGCUCUCAAUUUGAUUUGUUCUUCAGUUACCCUCGUGGGUUUCAUACUUGUGCACACCACAUGGAAUUCCUUUAAAUGCUUAUGAGGAUCUUCACCUACAAGACCAUGAAAAGUA
rnacentral:lncRNA from 1 species